CAGUGUGGGGGUCUUUGGAAGGAAACAGAUGUUAUACUACUUCUCUCUUACCAAAUCCUGCCUGGUUUGUCUUGAAAAUACUAAAUCCUAAGACCCCCCUCUCCCUCAGUGAAGGCCUGACUAUUUGCCGUUGACCGUUUUGUCCUCUGCUGUUCAGUAAACGUCCGCCCACGGCGCUCAAGGAGCAAGUUAGUGCAUGCGGCCUGUCGGUUUAUAGCCAGUGCUUCACAUGCAAAAGCCCAGACUUAAAAACCUCUAGGCAGCAAUCUCUGGACUCUGCUGGUGAAGAAUUCAUAGAUCUCACAGGUGAAUCUUCCAAGCCAAUCUAACUGGCAAUAGUUCUGUUGUGCAGCAGGACUAAAACCAGCAGCACCCACUUGUUUCCAGAGCAGCAGAUAAUUCAGUAGUGACAAUG